rnacentral:rRNA from 1 species
UGCAGAAUCCCGUGAACCAUCGAGUUUUUGAACGCAAGUUGCGCCCGAAGCCAUCCGGUCGAGGGCACGCCUGCCUGGGCGUCACGC